rnacentral:rRNA from 1 species
GGAUAACUACGGAAAAGCUGUAGCUAAUACUUGCUUUAGCACUCUUGAUUAAGUUCUUGAGUGUGUACUUGUUAAGCCUUUUAAGAAAAAAGUUAUUAACUUAAGGAAUUAUAACAAAGAAGUAACACGUAAUGGAUCCGUCCAUUUUUAGUGUGUAUCAAUCGAGUUUCUGACCUAUCAGCUUUUGAUGUUAGGGUAUUGGCCUAACAUGGCUAUGACGGGUAACGGGGAAUUAGAGUUCGAUUCCGGAGAGGGAGCCUGAGAAAUAGCUACCACAUCUAAGGAAGGCAGCAGGCGCGUAAAUUACCCAAUUCUAAAGAAGAGAGGUAGUGACAAGAAAUAACAAUACAAGGCCAAUCUGGCUUUGUAAUUGGAAUGAUGGGAAUUUAAAACCUUCCCAAAACUCAAUUGGAGGGCAAGUCUGGUGCCAGCAGCCGCGGUAAUUCCAGCUCCAAUAGCGUAUAUUAAAAUUGUUGCAGUUAAAACGCUCGUAGUUGAAUUUCAAAGAAUCGAUAUUUUAAGUAACGCUUUUAGCUUAAUCCACAUAACUGAUACUACGUAUCGACUUUGUGCGCAUUUUGCUAUUAUGUGUUCUUUUAAUUAAAAUGAUUCUUUUUAAGAUCUUUCUCUUGCUCCGGCAUUUGAAGAUCUUGUUACUUUGAGUAAAUUAGAGUGUUCAAAGCAAACAGAUAUAGCAUUGCGCGUUUGAAUACUACAGCAUGGAAUAACAAAAUUGAACAAGUCAGAAUUUUGUUCUUUUUUCUUAUUUUGGCUUAGUUACGAUUAAUAGGAGUAGCUUGGGGGCAUUUGUAUUCAGAUGUCAGAGGUGAAAUUCUUAGAUUUUCUGGAGACAAACAACUGCGAAAGCAUUUGCCUAAAAUACUUCCAUUAAUCAAGAACGAAAGUUAAGGGAGUGAAGACGAUCAGAUACCGUCGUAAUCUUAACCAUAAACUAUGCCGACUAGGCUUUGGAUGAAAGAUUUUAAAAUAAGAGAUUUUCUCUUCGGAGUUAAUC